rnacentral:rRNA from 1 species
UAACUACGUGCCAGCAGCCGCGGUAAUACGUAGGUGGCGAACGUUAUCCGGAAUCACUGGGCGUAAAGGGUCCGCAGGUGGUCUUAAAGGUCUGGCGUGAAAUCAUCUGGCUCAACUAGAUGCCGCCGUCCGAAACCGUAAGACUAGAUUCACACAGAGGUCGGUGGAAUUCCAGGUGUAGCGGUGGAAUGCGUAGAUAUCUGGAGGAACCCCAAAAGCGAAGGCAGCCGACUGGGUGAUGAAUGACACUGAGGGACGAAAGCGUAGGUAGCGAACAGGAUUAGAUACCCUGGUAGUCUACGCCGUAAACGAUGUGUGCUCGGUGUGUGUUUGUAAAAGGAUGCGCGCCCAANUAACGCGUUAAGCACACCGCCUGGGGAGUACGGCCGCAAGGCUAAAACUCAAAGGAAUUGACGGGGGCCCGCACAAGCAGCGGAGCGUGUGGUUUAAUUCGAUGCAACGCGAAGAACCUUACCUGGGUUU